rnacentral:lncRNA from 1 species
GUGAUAAAUAGGAAGCUACAGCUUUGAAGUUCGACGACGAUGAACAGCAAUUUCCUUCUGCAUCCCCGUCCCCAUUUCAGUAAGCUUCUUUCUUUAGGUUUUCCAAAUUGUUAAAAUACAUUUGUAAUGUAUUAUUCCUUCAAACUUUGAACGAACAAUGUGUGUUAUUUUGAAGAUUAAAUUUUGAUGUGUGUUAUUUUGAAGAUAUUUGAAAGAAGAAAGAAAACCGGAAGCCACAGGUUUCAUGUUUGACGACGAUGAAUAGCAAUUUCCUUCUCCAUCCUCGUCCCCAUUAAUUUAGUAAGCUUCUUUCUUCGGGCUUUCGAAAUUGUUAAAAUACAUUUGUAAUGUAUUAUUCCUUCAAGCUUUGAAGGAGGGUUGUGUGUUAUUUUGAAGAUUAAAUUUUGGUGUGUGUUAUUUUAAAAUGUUUGUCAAUAGAAAGAUAUUGAAUUCCAUAAAUAUCAAAUUAUAGCGGUACAAUUUUUUUGUAAAUAGAGAGGAGCAAUUAUCUUCUGGCAGCAAAUACUUUUUAUGACAUUCGUUUUUCAUUUUUACGAUAUUUUCAAUUCUCAAUAAAUUAAAAAAUUUCAUUUUGAGGAUUUAAUUGGAAUGUGAAAUCAAUCUUCUGUAUGCGAUAACUUUAGGUGACCUUGCAAGAUUAACUAGUAGAACCCUCAGGAACUUUUACUGAUGAUUAUUUGUAGGAAAUAAUAAUGAAGUGCAAUAAAUCCAUGUAUGAAAAAAUGUGGACCAACAACAAAUGUAUUUUAACAAACAAUGAUUUUGUUAUAACUCUGUUGGAUUCGACCUUGUUGUCUACUUACGGAUUUGUCAAUGUGAUGGCUUAUGUUUUUGCAGCUGAAUAAACUAUGGACAAAGUGCAAAACAAGCAUGAUGAUGUGUUGGCAGAAUACGAUGAUAGCUCAGUACCAUCUCAGAGAGGGUACGUUGGUUUGGUUCCUUCCGAUGGUCUUCCUACAUUUGAGUAAUCGCUUCAAAUUGUUCCGUUGAUUUUUGGUCUAUCUAUUGAUUGUUUCUACUUUUUGGGGGUGUGCUUGAAAUUUGUCGAGCUGCUUUUGCUCAAGCCGAGCUGUAUAACAAAUGGGUUUACACGUUAUUAUGUUGCUCAUACUUUUGUGCAAUUUUUUGGCUGUAAAUUGGAUUCUUCUCUUGAAUCUGCAUUACUGCUGGCAUAUAUGUAUUUGUACAGUGAAACUCUUUGUAAUUGAUGUAACACUUGGCUUAUUUUAAUUGUCCUUGUCCAAUUAGUAAGCUUGUGAUAGUUGGGUCAUUGGUUACUGAUGAUGUAUUGGUGCUAUUUAUGGUUUGACGCAAUCAAUGGCAGAGAAAUGCAUGUUAGC